rnacentral:lncRNA from 1 species
AACCUGACACUGUUCAGCUUUUUUAUCUUUUACCAGUAUUUGGGGACUUAUUGGGGAUUCCUUUGAUAAUUUCAGGAAGAAAGAAGUGGAAUGGAAGGAGCCAGUAACUGUCCCAGGUCAGAAAACGCCUCUGAAAAGGAUCUACAUUACACCCAAAGUUCAUUGGAUAACUGCACCCUCAACAAUCAGGAGACAAUAAGUGGUGUAGACAGAGCUAAUAUCUCCAAAUCAGAGCUAAUAUCCCCAAAUCAGAUGGUACCUCUGAAGACAUUCAGCAUUCCACAGACUGUUCACAGGUUGAGACUUUCCACAUUCAGGAGACAAUAAGUGGUACGAACCAAGCCAGUAACUGCCCCAAAUCAGAUGGUGCCUCUGAAGACAAUCAGCAUUGCACAGACAGUCCACAGCAUGACAGUAUCUUCCACAUUCAGGAGACAAUAAAGGGUACGAACCAAGCCAGUAACUGCCCCAAAUCAGAUGGUGCCUCUGAAGACAAUCAGCAUUGCACAGACAGUUCACAGCAUGACAGUAUCUUCCACAUUCAGGAGACAAUAAAGGGUAUGAACCAAGCCAGUAACUGCCCCAAAUCAGAUGGUGCCUCUGAAGACAAUCAGCAUUGCACAGACAGUCCACAGCAUGACAGUAUCUUCCACAUUCAGGAGACAAUAAAGGGUACAAACCAAGCCAGUAACUGCCCCAAAUCAGAUGGUGCCUCUGAAGACAAUCAGCAUUGCACAGACAAUUCACAGCAUGACAGUAUCUUCCACAUUCAGGAGACAAUAAAGGGUACAAACCAAGCCAGUAACUGCCCCAAAUCAGAUGGUGCCUCUGAAGACAAUCAGCAUUGCACAGACAAUUCACAGCAUGACAGUAUCUUCCACAUUCAGGUAUGAUACUGCUCUUUUUUAUGUGUUUUAAUUACAAUAUACGUUUAGUCCCCACAAUGUGCAAUGUGCAUGAU